GCAAGUCGAGCGGAUCGAUGGGAGCUUGCUCCCUGAGAUCAGCGGCGGACGGGUGAGUAACACGUGGGUAACCUGCCUGUAAGACUGGGAUAACUCCGGGAAACCGGGGCUAAUACCGGAUAAUUUAGUUCCUCGCAUGAGGAACUGUUGAAAGGUGGCUUUUCGCUACCACUUACAGAUGGACCCGCGGCGCAUUACCUAGUUGGUGAGGUAACGGCUCACCAAGGCAACGAUGCGUAGCCAACCUGAAAGGGUGAUCGGCCACACUGGGACUGAAACACGGCCCAAACUCCUACGGGAGGCAGCAGUAGGGAAUCUUCCGCAAUGGACGAAAGUCUGACGGAGCAACGCCGCGUGAGUGAAAAAGGUUUUCGGAUCGUAAAACUCUGUUGUUAGGGAAAAACAAGUGCCGUUCGAAUAGGGCGGCACCUUGACGGUACCUAACCAAAAAGCCACGGCUAACUACGUGCCAGCAGCCGCGGUAAUACGUAGGUGGCAAGCGUUGUCCGGAAUUAUUGGGCGUAAAGCGCGCGCAGGUGGUUUCUUAAGUCUGAUGUGAAAGCCCACGGCUCAACCGUGGAGGGUCAUUGGAAACUGGGGAACUUGAGUGCAGAAAAGGAAAGUGGAAUUCCAAGUGUAGCGGUGAAAUGCGUAGAUAUUUGGAGGAACACCAGUGGCGAAGGCGACUUUCUGGUCUGUAACUGACACUGAGGCGCGAAAGCGUGGGGAGCAAACAGGAUUAGAUACCCUGGUAGUCCACGCCGUAAACGAUGAGUGCUAAGUGUUAGAGGGUUUCCGCCCUUUAGUGCUGCAGCUAACGCAUUAAGCACUCCGCCUGGGGAGUACGGUCGCAAGACUGAAACUCAAAGGAAUUGACGGGGGCC
rnacentral:rRNA from 2 species